rnacentral:tRNA from 1 species
GGAGGGGUGUCCGAGCGGUUUAUGGAGCUGGUCUUGAAAACCAGUGAUGCCUUACCGGCACCGUGGGUUCGAAUCCCACCCCCUCCG